rnacentral:rRNA from 1 species
UACAGAGGGGGCAAGCGUUAUUCGGAAUUAUUGGGCGUAAAGGGCGCGUAGGCGGUCGUGCAAGUGGAAGGUGAAAUCCCUCGGCUCAACCGAGGAACUGCCUUUCAAACUGCAUGACUUGAGUCCGGGAGAGGUGAGUGGAAUUCCCAGUGUAGCGGUGAAAUGCGUAGAUAUUGGGAGGAACACCAGUGGCGAAGGCGGCUCACUGGACCGGAACUGACGCUGAGGCGCGAAAGCGUGGGGAGCAAACAGG